ACGUAGGGUGCAAGCGUUAAUCGGAAUUACUGGGCUUAAAGGGUGCGCAGGCGGUUUGGAAAGUAAGGGGUGAAAUCCCAGAGCUCAACCGUGGAACUGCCCUUGAAACUGUCAGUCUAGAGUAUAGUUGAAGUUGGUGGAAUGUGGCAUGUAGCGGUGAAAUGCGUAGAUAUGACACAGAACACCGAUCGCGAAGGCAGCUAGCUGAGCUAUAACUGACGCUCAUGCACGAAAGCGUGGGGAUCAAACAG
rnacentral:rRNA from 1 species